rnacentral:lncRNA from 1 species
UUCCUCAAGUGAUGAAAGCUCAACUUCAAUUGUAGAACCGGCCCGGAUUUUACUCAUGGCAAAUAGAAAGAAUAAGAAAAAUGUAAUUCUUUCUAAGAUUGAAUCUAUUAAUGAAAUAUCUUAUUCUCAAUUACAAAAAAAAGCUUUUGAAAACCUUCAUAGAGAAGCCUUAGAUGCUUUCAAAAAGUUAGCUUCACAUGAAAGAGUCUUUUUACACUUAGAAGCUAAAGUUUUAGAAUCCUAAAAGAAGGUGGAAUCUAU